UGUGUGCACCUGGAAACCUGUUUGAAAACAGUCAUUGUUUAUCACUAAUGCAGCCUAUUAUUGAACGAGCAUUUAAUGUUGUGUUUAGUCAUUUUUUAGGAACCUUUGCUGUUGUUCUUUACUGGUGGGUUGAGUUUGGGGUAAAAGGGUCGCUAAACCCUGCGAGUGAUUAGCUACAAAAUCACGAGUAAUGAAUGUGCAUUGGGUGUUUAUUUGCUCAUGUGUUUAUUCAGUGCAGCAACUGAUGUGUUUGUUUGAACGGCUCAACAUGUCGACUUCUGAAUCAGCCAAUCAUUUGAGUUUGAGGAAGGAAACCCAGAAACCUGUUUGAAAACAGUCAUUGUUUUUAUUUUUUAUAUGUAGACAUAUUGAACUUGUACACACAUUUACAAGCGUUUUACAAUGUGUUUUGUCAUUUGCAGGCAGUUGUUCUUUACUGGUGGGGUAAAAGGGUCUCUGUGGGUCCUAAAGAAACCCCGCGAGCGCUGCCGUCACCCGGGGCAGAAACAGCGCAGGGGUCCCUGAUAUCUCCCGUCCCGGGCCGGGUCUGAGGAGUGCGUUCGAACCCCCCGACCCCACGUUUCCACCCGCUCUCAGCAGGAGGUUCAGAGGAGAGUCUGGAUUCACAGAGAACAAAAGCAGAAUUAGUGCCUCUUUUGUUUUUGUGGUCUCGUGUCUGUCUGGCGUGAGCUCCUUGGGCGAUCGGCAGACAUCGAUUCCUGCUGUUUUUGUUGGUUUAUAUGCGAGGAACGUGCUGUUGUUCUCGUUGACUGAUGUCUGGAGGAUAUGAGACUCUCUCGAGACGGUUCAAGGGGAGAAUAGUUUUGAUAUUCAUUUUUCCUGCUUGCUUUACAUUUAGUUGCCCUGUAGCGAACAUCUCUUAAUGAGAUAAACAGGUCACUGCUGGCACUUUGGGUGAAUCUCACCAAACCUGUCGAGGACACGUCCGGGUCAGAUUACUCUUUAACAUCAAGAGAAAGAAGCAAGGAUUUAUAUUUGACAUGAAAAGAAAAUGAAGACUAUUUUAGGGCCAUUCAGUUUUUUGAUUAUUUUCAUGGAAAUUAAACACCAAAAUGAUUUCACCUUGAAAAAAGCAAAUAUAUUAUUUGUAUUUAUACAUUUAAUUUAAUUCAUGCUGAGUUACACAACCUUAAAAAUUAAAGUUAAGACACAUUUGACUUAAUUAAAAUUUCUCAUGACC
ensembl:lncRNA